rnacentral:rRNA from 1 species
AACGAACGCUGGCGGCAGGCCUAACACAUGCAAGUCGAACGCUCCAGCAAUGGAGAGUGGCAGACGGGUGAGUAACGCGUGGGAACCUUCCCUAUGGUUCGGAAUAGCUCAGGGAAACUUGAGGUAAUACCGGAUAAGCCCUUCGGGGAAGGAUUAUCGCCAUUGGAUGGCCCGCGUAGGAUUAGCUAGUUGGUGAGGUAACGG